rnacentral:misc_RNA from 1 species
AACGCAUAUUGCGCUCGAACCUUCGGGUUAGAGCAUGUCUGCCUCAGCGUCGGUUUAUACCCUCACCCCUCCCAUUUUGUUGGGCUGGACGACUCAUUGCUAGUUGGCCAAAGGGGUGGAGCUGGCUUCCCCAAUUUGGCAGCAGAUUGGGUUGGCUGAAGCGUAGAGGCUUAAACAAGGACCCGAUAUGGGCUUCAACUGGAUAGGUAGGGUGGGCGUUCGCGCCAAACUACACGAAGUUGUGGCUUGUGGACUUUGUUAGGGGCCAAGCAGGAAACAUGCUUAACGGCAUGUCUAAACUUUCGACCUGAGCUCAGGCAAGGCUACCCGCUGAACUUAA